rnacentral:lncRNA from 1 species
AUGCCGCAGUUCAGGUUGCGGUCCACCUUGCAGAAGGUGUGCGGGGGCGUCUCGCCUUUGCUGCUGAUGAUGACGCAGAUGUCGGUGACCGCCAGCGAGUUCUGGGGCUGGACCAGCGGCGCCCGGCGGAAGGUGAUGAAGAUGCGCUGCGACGUGGCCGAGCUGUUGUUGACGUUGGCGCAGCGGCCGAAGGGCGUGGCCUGGACCACCUCGCAGCCCUGGAUCAGCCGGUCCUUCCCCUCGUACAGCACGCUGGCGAGGGGAGAGGACGGGCUUAAAGCGACCGCCGCAACCUGCGCCCACCCAGCGCCACUCCGCUCAGCCCCGCCCCACCCGCUCGGCCCCGCCCACCCCAUCCACUCGGCCCCGCCCACUCAGCCUUGCCCACCCAGCCCCGCCCACCCGGCACCACCCACCCCGCCCCGCCUUGCCCACCCAGUCCUGCCCACUCCACUCAGCCCCGCCCACCCCAUCCACUCGGCCCCGCCCGCUCAGCCUUGCCCACCCAGCCCCGCCCACCCGGCACCACCCACCCCGCCCCGCCUUGCCCACCCAGUCCUGCCCACUCCACUCAGCCCUGCCCACCCCAUCCACUUGGCCCCGCCCGCUCAGCCUUGCCCACCCAGCCCCGCCCACUCCUCUCAGCCCCGCCCACUCGGCCACGCCCACUCACCCGACAUCGAUGAGGGGCGACUUCCCGCGGCUCCGCCGGUAGCACAGGAACAGCUCGGGGCUCUUCAGGCUGCCGUGGUUCAGGUUGGCCGGCUGGCCGCUGGGGGUGGUGUCGAUGCAGGUGAAGCCCUCCGGCACCGUCUCCCCCGCCGACCUGUUGAUGACGGCCAGGUCGGUGAUGGGCCCCUUGGGCCCGCCGGACCUGCACUCCGACAGGUCCUGCUCCAGGGGCGUGGACCGGUCCGUCAGCCCGGCCACCACGAAGUAGUCGGUCACCCGGUGACCCUUGUCCUCGUUCAUGGCUGGACGUGCCUGCGAGGAGGGACGAGUCUGUGA